rnacentral:lncRNA from 1 species
AGCUGCAAAUAGAUGCUAAGGCGAAAUAUUCAAUUCGACUUUACGGAGAGUUAGUAGGUGGAGUUACAGCAGCGGUGGAGCGAGCGCAUCCGUCAUUGAGGAAAGCAGGUCACUACUAAAGGCGAAAUUUCUCGUCCACCAGGCUCCGACGCGAAAUCUCUCUUAGCGAUUUUCCCCUCCGCUUUCCAGCGGAGAAAACGGCCGUUCCCACUGGAGUUUAUCUGAGGUCAUCUACUAAACGCGAAAAUUCUCGUUCGCCGGGCUCCGACUCGAAAUCUCUUAGCGAUUUUCCCCUCCGUUUUCUAACGGAGAAAACGGCUGUUCCCACUGGGGUCUGAGCUAAUGGAGUCAGUUUCAUGUGUCGACUAGCUCCGUUAUGCCUGCAGUUUAGAUUUUCAACUUGCUGCCCUAUGAUGAAAACCUGGUUUUGGAGAUGGAUCAGCUAAGUCCGUUAGAUAAAAAACAUCCCAGUAGUAAAGGCCCUUAAUACCAAACUGUUACAUUACGUCUAUGGAAACUUUGUAUAUAUAGAUGUGCUUUGACACGACUACGCUAGCGACGUAGAACGAAACACACGUCGCAUGCGAAAAGUCAUCCAUACGAAAGGUUCGUAAAGUGAAUGUUGUUUUGUUGAAUGUGAAACUUGAAAGGCAGUUUAAAGUGAAAGUUGAAAGAUCCCAAACAGAGACGAGCGAAGUUUGCGGUCAGCCAAUAGAAUCAUUGCAGAGGAAAAAAUUCAGGUCAUACUGGUAGAAGGCUUCAAGAGCAAUAUGUUUCAUCAGCUGUUCAUUUUUUCCUGCCGGGGGGGCUACACCAGGGCUGUUACGGCGAAGAUUGCUGUUGACAGAGGGAAGACGUGUGAUUUGGAGCUCCGCAGUUGACAGCGAUAAUUAGCGAAAGUUUCGUCACAGUAUUCUAAUUUUUGUUUUUAAAGUGUGCGUGCAAUGGUUCUUCAGUUGUUAGUGCUUUUGUGAUUUGUGCUUUAUGUAGAUUAUGACAGCGUCCUUCACGUGUUUCAACAUUGUGCUGUGUUAUAUAAGUGUAUAUUAGUACAUCGAAAAUUUUUUAAGUCCAGAAAAUAGUGGUUAAGUUAUAAAAAAAUAUUAUCUCUGGAUUAUCACGUCUUAGUGAUCUGCACGCAUAACGGUCAAGGUAGGCAAAUUUUGUUCUGUCUAUUGAACUGUGUAUUAUUCUGUUAUAUUAAACGGCUCUUGUUAUAUCAAUCGUAGAUUUAUUUAUAAAUUUUGCGUAACUUUGCCUCUUGCUUACUAACAAUUUGCGUCAGACAUAUUGGCAUUUUGCACGCAACAACAACUCGUCCUUGAGGAAGGUCGAGGUUAUACACAGUUCAAUAGCGCCUAGUAAUAAGCAAGUCUUUCAAUGAUAUUUGAGUGCCAUUAUGUAUUCGUAUGAUUCUUAGUAUGUUCAAUUUUAAAUUUCUGUGCUCUUGUUUAUUAAUAUUUCGUACUACUUGAUUUAAUUGCAUCCGUCUUAUUUUUCAUUGUAUUUAAUAUUUUGAUACAUGUUGGUUCCCUUAAUGUUAACUCAAUAGACUAAUCCCAAAUGCUCAUAUACAAAAGAAUUAUGCUACAGUUUAGGUUUUUUUUUCUAUAUAUGUAAAACGUCAGUAAAGGAAGAUUUGUGGAAUAACUUGUAAAAAUUCAAAUUAAAAUUUUUAAAAAUUUUUAAA